AUCCCUUUCCAGAGCAAAGGAAUCAAAGCUGCAGAUUCUUGCUGCCUAAAUUGGGAGGCAGGCAGGGCAAAUUGACGUUCACACCUCCCAUCAAGCUGCUGCCCCUGGUCUCGUUGCUGUAGGCCCUGAGCAGUUGUAACCACCUGUGGUGCACCGGACUUUCAGAAAACUGACAUUCGACACAGAAAGGGAGACGGAGCGAAAAACGGCACUGCGACCCAGCGCGCUGGAGUACGCAUGGGCCCCGCCAGCCUCCUCUCUCUGUUCAGCCCCGACCCCGCCUAGGCUCCGCCCUCUGCCCCAGUCCAACCCCUGCCCUUCGGUCCAGACUCAGACCCCGCCUUCCACCUCGGCCCCGCCCUCUACCCAGGCCCAGACUCUGCCCAUCUACUCGGGCUCCGCUCUCCGCCCCCCAUCCAG
rnacentral:lncRNA from 1 species